CUCAGAAGGUGGGAAACCAAAGUCCCUUUCAUCCUUUGAACUUGAGGACAUUGGCAGUUUUUGCUUGCCUGAUUUUAAAUGACAAGUUAAAUCAUAGAAAUUAAGUUAAAUCACAGAUCUAAUCCACUUGGAUUGUGAUGAUGGCAGCAGCUUCAGAGGCCUGACGUGGCUCGUGCUGCCCGUGGCUCUGCAGAUGUGUGAUUCUUUCUGUGUGUGAGAGAGAGAGACACCAAAGCCCACAGUCAAAUUCUCAGUCACUUUCGUAAAUUACAAGGAAGAUGGGCUGUAUAGAAUCAUUGAAGAUUAUAAAAAUGUUGGUUUUUACCUUUAAAGUAAC
rnacentral:lncRNA from 1 species